rnacentral:rRNA from 1 species
GAAAGAGGAUGCAAGCGUUAUCCGGAAUUAUUGGGCGUAAAGAGUACGUAGGAGGCUUAUCAAGUCAGGGGUUAAAUCCCGCAGCUUAACUGAGGAUCGGCCUUUGAAACUGAUCGGCUAGAGUAUGGUAGGGGUAGAGGGAAUUCCCGGUGUAGCGGUGAAAUGCGUAGAUAUCGGGAAGAACACCUGUGGCGAAAGCGCUCUACUGGACCAUAACUGACGAUGAGGUACGAAAGCUAGGGGAGCGAAUGGG